rnacentral:rRNA from 1 species
GACGUAGGAGGCGAGCGUUGUCCGGAUUCAUUGGGCGUAAAGAGCGCGCAGGCGGCUUGGUAAGUCGGAUGUGAAAACCCGAGGCUCAACCUCGGGCGUGCAUCCGAAACUGCUCGGCUAGAGGUAGGUAGGGGAGAUCGGAAUUCCUGGUGUAGCGGUGAAAUGCGCAGAUAUCAGGAGGAACACCGGUGGCGAAGGCGGGUCUCUGGACAGUUCCUGACGCUGAGGCACGAAGGCCAGGGGAGCAAACGGG